GAUGAACGCUAGCUACAGGCUUAACACAUGCAAGUCGAGGGGUAGCAGGGUAGCAAUACCGCUGACGACCGGCGCACGGGUGAGUAACACGUAUCCAACCUUCCCAUAACUCGGGGAUAGCCUUUCGAAAGAAAGAUUAAUACCCGAUAGUACUUUUUCAAGGCAUCUUGAGAAAGUUAAAGAUUUAUUGGUUAUGGAUGGGGAUGCGUUCCAUUAGAUAGUUGGUGAGGUAACGGCUCACCAAGUCUUCGAUGGAUAGGGGUUCUGAGAGGAAGGUCCCCCACAUUGGUACUGAGACACGGACCAAACUCCUACGGGAGGCAGCAGUGAGGAAUAUUGGUCAAUGGGCGAGAGCCUGAACCAGCCAAGUAGCGUGAAGGAUGAAGGUCCUAUGGAUUGUAAACUUCUUUUAUAGUAGAAUAAAGUGAUCCACGUGUGGAUUUUUGUAUGUAUACUAUGAAUAAGGAUCGGCUAACUCCGUGCCAGCCGCCGCCGUAA
rnacentral:rRNA from 1 species